AGUUGUAUGUACAUAAUAAACGGGAAUAUCAAUGCAUAGUUUUAGCAUAACAUCUUGACUCCUCGAUAAUUAUAUCCGUUUGGAGCCUACGCAGAAUAGCUUGAAUUGCAUGCUAUAAAGACAGAGGCUAUAGCAGAAAUGCAGUCAUAUUCGACAGCUGCAUCUUGGUUUUGAGCCGUUUAGUGGAGGCUUUAGUGGAUCUACUGGCGGAAAUGCAGGCACUCGAGGUUUUUUUUCCUAACCUAAUAGCAAAACCUGAUAUCGUGACUUAGUAAAAACCAACCGGGUUGUCUGAAAAGAUCAAGGGCAUAGGGACACGGAACUCCUAGGAUAAUAAAUUAUGGAUACCGCUACAAAGUGAAUCCCCUAUCAACUGUGACGGACUGCAUGAUCAGACCAAACGAAUCAAUGGGAAAACAAAACUGAGUCUCGGACCAGCCUUGCAAGCACAUGUAUCUGUGGGCGCUCAAGAUUAAUUGUCAACACAGUACCCACCUUGUGUGCCUUUGGUCAUGUCUGGGCUACCCUCUGUGCCAUUGGGAAACUACCUGUAGCUCUUUUUGAAAUAUUCAACACACUUUUAUCCAGUCAGAGUUUACUCAGCCGACUAGUGCUUCAGAAAAUAACAAGUCAAUUUCCAACAGCAAACAACAGCCCAUGAGCCCUGGGAUGCUCAAACAGAAGAAGGAAAAGGAAGAAGCGAAGACUGGAGAAAUAUUAUUGGAAGAUGCUGCCAGAAGAACUGAGAGAAUACAGUGAUAAGUAAUCAUAAACAGAAACAAGGAUUAAUCUAAUUGCUCUGAUGAAGGGUCUAGGCCCGAAACGUCAGCUUUUGUGCUCCUGAGAUGCUGCUUGGCCUGCUGUGUUCAUCCAGCUCCACACUUUGUUAUCUUAAUUUAUUUGCGGCUGGUAGGCACAAUGGAAAUUCAACAUUUUUCUAAAAAGCAAAUGUGGCACCUGAGGAAUUCUGUGUUACAUGCAAGAUUUUUAGCCAAUUUAUUUCCAAUUAACUGGGCAGAUCCAAACUCUCUGCACUAAAAUUGCACCUCCUCCAAUUGAGUAUUUUCACUCCAAAUUGCUCCCUGUCCUUUUUC